AAAAAGAAACGUUUAAAUUUGUUUAUUAAAUUAUGGAAAUAUAAUAACGAACAUGUUUUCUCCAUAUUUAAAUGCAAUAACGCAAGAAAUUAGAAAUGCAAACUGUUUUCUUCUUCAAUUUUUUUUUAAUAUAACUCAAAAUAAUAUACUAUUUAGAACUCUUUGGAAAUUAGCUCUUGUUUUUUGAGUUUUUGAACUUUGGACUUUUUUUCUAUGUAAGAAUACAAUUAUAUCUUAGUGAAAAGCAAAAGCAAAUUUCAAUUAUUUUGAAAUAAAUUUCAGAGCGGAUUAAUUAUUUUUUUAUCAUCUGUAGACACUCUAUAUAUAAUUAUACAAUUUAUAUCAUUUCAACCUUUGUAAAAUUGUUUUUAAUGUUUGUAGUUACAAAUGAGUAAUUAUCAAAAUAAUGCGCAGAAAAGUUUAUUCUUGAAACAUACUUUUCAAUUGUACUAAUUACAUGAAUAUUUCUUAAUAAAUUUCUAACUAUAAUCACUUGUUUUGAUUCUGCAACCUCUUGCAGCUUCAAAUUCUUGAAUCUACCUGUCUAUGUAAUAUGUUUAAAUUAGUCAAAGCUUUUAAAAUGAAAACUGAUUAAACAUAAAACUGGUAAUUAAAAAUACAAUAGUGUUUCUCUAUUUGCUGAAAAUAUACAUCCAAACCUAAACAGAUUUUCAAAAUCGGGAUACAUAGCUAUAUAACCAAGUGGUCUUUUAAGAUUGGAUCUGAGUUUUAAAUUAUUGAAAAUUUGGUCAGAAGUAUAGAAAAAAAUAAACAAAAAGAAAUGUAUAAUGAACACGAGGCUUACUUACAUAGCAAUAAAAUAACAUUUACAAUGAAAUCAAAUUUUAAAAAGACCAAUGGAAUAAAAACACGGAGGAGAGGGAUUUUCUUAUGUACUCCGUCUCCAACGCUCCUCUCCACCAUUUUCUCUUCUUACAAGCUUCCCCAGAGACGACUUUUCCCUGUUUUACCCAAACAUAUCCGGUUAGUUCUACUUCUUCAUCUUCUUUGCUUUCCUGAAUUUGUUUUACCAUUGAUAUUGGGACUUGCUUCGUUCGAUUAGUUUCUGACUAGAUUAACACCAAUCUUACUAUUUUAUUUCUCCUGAUGUUGUUUUGUAAUAAACCUCAAGACAAGUGCUAAGAAAAAAAAAUAUAUUUAGUUGUAUUUGAGGUUCAUGAAUAUCAGAAAACAUAAAACUUUAUUAAUGUACUCUUACCACAUACAUACAAAAUUACAAAUAUUUGUAAUUAUCUAGAUCCAUGUGAGUUCAUGUUAUGCCCUCUAAGGACACCUUACGUGUUGUACAUGCUGGCUAUGUUCCCCUCCUUUGUUUCUCUCUUAAGCUCUUGUGAUUCUCUGAUAAAAAAAACUUCUUUUCUGCAGCUUUUGUGCUUCAUCCUCUGAGUGGUUCUUAGUGCUUUCAAAGUACAUGAUGAGUAAAGUUAACAGUGAGGAAUCUUCUAGUAACCAAAAGUUAUUGAAGGAGGUAGAGACGAUCGGUGAAGCUUUGUAUGUGAACAAGAAUAAUCCUAGGAGGAGCUCAGCAUCUGGUCCUAAUAACAACACUUCAACAAAGCCCUUGGGUCGUACCACCCACUUAGCUGAGCCUCAGAAGGAAAAGAAGUCUUUUUGGAACUGGCCUCUCAGAGCUCUUUCUCAUGUCCGAAACCGACGGUUCAACUGUUGUUUCUUUGCUCAAGUACAUUCCAUAGAAGGCUUACCGCCGAUAUUCCAGGAUCUUUACCUCACUGUUCACUGGAAACGUCGUGAUGAGUCUUUAACCACUCGUCCUGCAAAAGUUUUGAACGGAAGAGCUGAGUUUAAGGACAAGCUGACGCAUACGUGCUCGGUUUACGGAAGCAGAAGCGGACAGCAUCACUCGGCUAAGUAUGAAGCGAAGCAUUUCUUGCUGUAUGCGUCUCUGGUUGGGUCUCCUGAGGUUGAUCUGGGGAAACAUCGGAUGGAUCUUACGAGAUUGCUUCCUCUAACGCUAGAGGAGUUGCAGGAUGAGAAGAGCACUGGGAAGUGGUCGACGACGUUUCAGUUGAGUGGGAAGGGUAGUGGUGCUACUCUGAGCAUGAGUUUUGGGUACACUGUUGUUGGGGAUACUCGCAGUGCUUCAAAUGCAAAGCAAACUAGCAAUAAUAUCACAGGGUUGACGAGGACUACUAGUACAAAGUCUGUAUCUCGGCGUUAUGAUCAUGGUAUUGUUAACAAAGAGUCUCGUCCUCUGUCUGAGAAUGUGGAGGAGAUCAAAGAUCUUCAUGAAGUUCUUCCCGUUGCACAAUCUGACCUGGCCAGUUCUGUGAACAUUCUGUAUCAAAAAUUUGAUGAGGAGAAGGUGGAUCGGGCAGCUGAGUCUCAGAUCGAAUUUGAGGUUGUCACUAAACACAUUGAACCUGUUGAGUCAUUUUCUCAAGAAAAUGAAGAUGCAAAUGAAACUGAGGUUCCUUUAGAGGAUGUUAAGAAGGUUGACGAAGUUCCUACUGCUGGAAGUGAGGAAGUUUUUACAGAAAACUUGCCUCCAGGAGAGCCUUUGGUAAACAGGAAUGAGACUGAUGUUUCUUUUGAAGAAUCAAAGAUAGUUGGUGAAGUUCCUAUUACUAGAAGUGAGGAAGUUGUUGAGAUUGGUACAGAAAGUUUGUCUCCAGAGGAGGGUAGCAAUGUUUCUAUAAAGGAAGAGAACAGUGGGAGAGACGUGAGAGAAAUGAUAAUGAAAGAUCUUGAAUCAGCUUUGAAAAGUGUAGAAAUGUUGGAAGCAACAGCGUCAGACGACGACGAGGAAGAUCAAGAAGACCGUGGAGGCUCAGAAACAUCCUAUAGAACACCAAAUAAGGAAGCAGCAGCAGUAUCAAGUUCGAGAGAUGUGGCAAGCGAGUUCCUAGACAUGCUAGGUAUUGAACACAGCCCUUUUAGUUUGAGUUUUGAGAGCGAACCUGAGUCUCCAAGGGAGCGCUUGUUAAGAGAGUUUGAAAUGGAAACUCUAGCGGCCGGUUCUUUGUUUGAUUUUACUAUUGAAUCUGAUGAAAACUUCUCAGAAGAGAAUGAAUCAGAUUUCGAUCUGGCAUCCCUAGUUCAAGAUAUAGAGGAAGAGUACCAGUUGGAAACUCAAGCAAGAGUCAGCAACCCCAGGGCCAAAACGUUAGAAGACUUGGAAACAGCAUCACUGAUGCGUGAGUGGGGUAUGAAUGAAAACACAUUCCAGAACUCUCCGCCUCACAAUGGUCGUAAUACGUUUCCUCCAGAACAGGAGCCAUUUGAUUUGCCUCCUCUAGGAGAUGGCCUUGGUCCAGUUGUGCAGACAAAGAACGGAGGGUUCUUGCGUUCAAUGAAUCCUUUACUAUUCAGAAACUCUAAAUCCGGAGGGAGCUUGAUCAUGCAAGUGUCAAGUCCAGUGGUGGUGCCUGCUGAGAUGGGCUCUGGUAUCAUGGAGAUACUUGAGAAACUAGCCACUGCUGGAAUUGAGAAGCUCUCAAUGCAGGCAAAUAAAGUAAUGCCUUUGGAUGAUAUAACAGGGAAAACUAUGGAAGAGUUGUUGUGGGAUGCUUCACCUGCAAUUGACGGUGGUAACAGGUUUGAAACCAAUCUUAUCAUCAUUCAUUCUGUUUUGUGAAAAAUGUUUACUUACGUUUUGGACGUAUUUGGUUUACUUCUCAAUGCAGGGAUCAUAUCUCACAGCAUGAAUCUGGUUUUGGGAGUGGAGCAUCAUCUGCAGCUAAUUCAAAAAAGUUUGGUUCAAGCUCUAGCAACAACAACUCUGGCUCGGAGUAUGUAUCACUUGAAGAUCUUGCUCCUUUGGCUAUGGACCAGAUUGAAGCACUUUCUUUAGAAGGGUUGAGAAUACAAUCAGGAAUGUCAGAGGAGGAUGCACCCUCUGAAAUAACUGCACAGUCAAUCGGAGAGAUCUCAGCCUUCCAAGGAAAAAGCGGGUGCGUUGGUCUAGAAGGAGCUGCUGGUUUACAACUUCUUGACAUAAAGGAUGACAGAGAUGACGAUGAUGAUGGGUUAAUGAGUCUCUCAUUGACUCUUGAUGAGUGGAUGAAGCUGGAUUCAGGUGACAUUGGAGACGAAGAUGAAAUAAAUGAGCAAACGUCGAAAAUCUUGGCUGCACAUCAUGCAAACCCACUGAACUUUAUCCGGAAAGGGGAGAAAAGAAAGGGGAAGAGAGGAAGGAGAUGUGGUUUACUUGGGAAUAACUUCACAGUAGCACUAAUGGUUCAACUCCGAGAUCCCUUAAGAAACUAUGAGCCAGUUGGAGCUCCCAUGCUUUCUCUUAUCCAGGUUGAGAGAUUGUUUGUUCCUCCAAAGCCCAUAAUCUAUAGUACAGUUUCAGAGGUGAGGAAAACCGAUGAAGAGGAAAAGGAAACUGAGGUGGUCAAAGAGGAUAAAACCGUUUUGGAGGAACAAGGAAUCCCUCAGUAUAAAAUCUCAGAGGUGCAUGUUACUGGUAUGAAGAGUGAGACUGAUAAAAAGCCAUGUGGAGUCAAGAGUCAGCAUCAGCAGGUGCAGUCUGGUUCAAGGUGGUUGAUGGCUAACGGAAUGGGGAAAGGGAACAACAAGCUUCCUCUUAUGAAACCAAAACCGGGUUCUAUAAAGUCUGGUGAUAAGUUGUGGAGUGUGUCUGGUUCUGGUUCUAAAUGGAAAGAGCUUGGGAAAGUGGGGAAGUGGAACACACACGUGCGGAAUCCGAAUGUGAUCAUGCCAAAAUGAAACAAGAACUAGUGUCUGGUUUCUGGUUUUCUUUUUAUGCUAUGUAAAGUUAAUGUUAUGUGGUGUGUUGAAUUGCUAGAUUCAUUUCAGUGUUGCACCUGUGUUUAUUUAUGUGUGUGUUAGUUUAGGUUUUGCGGAUCAAACUAAUCACUGUUUUGUGGUACAGUUAAGAGAUCAAUGGAACGAACAAGAGCCUUUGAACUUGGUGCAGUGCUUAUUAUAUGAUAGUGAGGCAUCUUAGACGUGUCUGCAAUGCAAUGCUUAUUACUUAAUUAAAAUUUAAGCCAUAGAGACAAGAAAAUGAAACACUUGGAACAAUUACACACAAUAAAAUGCUAAACGAACUUGAAUAAAAAGCACAUAAACUCACACACAAAAACUUAAAAAAAAAUGAAAUAUAAGCUUAAUCAGUUCCUCCAAGCACACCCUUAAGUUUCUUAACUUGUUCAUCACUAAGGAAGGUGGUGGCUUCAACGAGCUCUGAAGGCAAAUCAUUAGCAAACAAAGCAAACGGUAGAAUCUGGAGGCCUGGGGAGGAGCUUCCAAAGGCAACAAAGGCCAAGGCAGGGCCUUUCCCAGAGUUAAGCUGAAAAUGAAGAAGCCCUUGAGGAAACACCAUAGAAUCACCUCUCUGGAGAGUCUUCAAGUAAACUUUGUUAGCAGAGGAAAUAAACCCGGCGCAGAUGGUUCCUUGUAUGACUACAAGAACCUCAGACGCACCAGGAUGUGUGUGAAGAGGAAUGACACCACCACCGGCUAAGUCAAGACGAGCCAUUGAGACUCCAAGACCAUUGGUGCCUGCGAAAGCAGGGGCAAAGGCUGGCGUCACUGCGGCUUUAAUGAGGUUCGAAGUGUUUCCAGCUUUGGCGAGGCCGGAGAAUGCAAAGUCAUUUUAAUAAACCUCAAGACAAGUGCUAAGAAAAAAAAAUAUAUUUAGUUGUAUUUGAGGUUCAUGAAUAUCAGAAAACAUAAAACUUUAUUAAUGUACUCUUACCACAUACAUACAAAAUUACAAAUAUUUGUAAUUAUCUAGAUCCAUGUGAGUUCAUGUUAUGCCCUCUAAGGACACCUUACGUGUUGUACAUGCUGGCUAUGUUCCCCUCCUUUGUUUCUCUCUUAAGCUCUUGUGAUUCUCUGAUAAAAAAAACUUCUUUUCUGCAGCUUUUGUGCUUCAUCCUCUGAGUGGUUCUUAGUGCUUUCAAAGUACAUGAUGAGUAAAGUUAACAGUGAGGAAUCUUCUAGUAACCAAAAGUUAUUGAAGGAGGUAGAGACGAUCGGUGAAGCUUUGUAUGUGAACAAGAAUAAUCCUAGGAGGAGCUCAGCAUCUGGUCCUAAUAACAACACUUCAACAAAGCCCUUGGGUCGUACCACCCACUUAGCUGAGCCUCAGAAGGAAAAGAAGUCUUUUUGGAACUGGCCUCUCAGAGCUCUUUCUCAUGUCCGAAACCGACGGUUCAACUGUUGUUUCUUUGCUCAAGUACAUUCCAUAGAAGGCUUACCGCCGAUAUUCCAGGAUCUUUACCUCACUGUUCACUGGAAACGUCGUGAUGAGUCUUUAACCACUCGUCCUGCAAAAGUUUUGAACGGAAGAGCUGAGUUUAAGGACAAGCUGACGCAUACGUGCUCGGUUUACGGAAGCAGAAGCGGACAGCAUCACUCGGCUAAGUAUGAAGCGAAGCAUUUCUUGCUGUAUGCGUCUCUGGUUGGGUCUCCUGAGGUUGAUCUGGGGAAACAUCGGAUGGAUCUUACGAGAUUGCUUCCUCUAACGCUAGAGGAGUUGCAGGAUGAGAAGAGCACUGGGAAGUGGUCGACGACGUUUCAGUUGAGUGGGAAGGGUAGUGGUGCUACUCUGAGCAUGAGUUUUGGGUACACUGUUGUUGGGGAUACUCGCAGUGCUUCAAAUGCAAAGCAAACUAGCAAUAAUAUCACAGGGUUGACGAGGACUACUAGUACAAAGUCUGUAUCUCGGCGUUAUGAUCAUGGUAUUGUUAACAAAGAGUCUCGUCCUCUGUCUGAGAAUGUGGAGGAGAUCAAAGAUCUUCAUGAAGUUCUUCCCGUUGCACAAUCUGACCUGGCCAGUUCUGUGAACAUUCUGUAUCAAAAAUUUGAUGAGGAGAAGGUGGAUCGGGCAGCUGAGUCUCAGAUCGAAUUUGAGGUUGUCACUAAACACAUUGAACCUGUUGAGUCAUUUUCUCAAGAAAAUGAAGAUGCAAAUGAAACUGAGGUUCCUUUAGAGGAUGUUAAGAAGGUUGACGAAGUUCCUACUGCUGGAAGUGAGGAAGUUUUUACAGAAAACUUGCCUCCAGGAGAGCCUUUGGUAAACAGGAAUGAGACUGAUGUUUCUUUUGAAGAAUCAAAGAUAGUUGGUGAAGUUCCUAUUACUAGAAGUGAGGAAGUUGUUGAGAUUGGUACAGAAAGUUUGUCUCCAGAGGAGGGUAGCAAUGUUUCUAUAAAGGAAGAGAACAGUGGGAGAGACGUGAGAGAAAUGAUAAUGAAAGAUCUUGAAUCAGCUUUGAAAAGUGUAGAAAUGUUGGAAGCAACAGCGUCAGACGACGACGAGGAAGAUCAAGAAGACCGUGGAGGCUCAGAAACAUCCUAUAGAACACCAAAUAAGGAAGCAGCAGCAGUAUCAAGUUCGAGAGAUGUGGCAAGCGAGUUCCUAGACAUGCUAGGUAUUGAACACAGCCCUUUUAGUUUGAGUUUUGAGAGCGAACCUGAGUCUCCAAGGGAGCGCUUGUUAAGAGAGUUUGAAAUGGAAACUCUAGCGGCCGGUUCUUUGUUUGAUUUUACUAUUGAAUCUGAUGAAAACUUCUCAGAAGAGAAUGAAUCAGAUUUCGAUCUGGCAUCCCUAGUUCAAGAUAUAGAGGAAGAGUACCAGUUGGAAACUCAAGCAAGAGUCAGCAACCCCAGGGCCAAAACGUUAGAAGACUUGGAAACAGCAUCACUGAUGCGUGAGUGGGGUAUGAAUGAAAACACAUUCCAGAACUCUCCGCCUCACAAUGGUCGUAAUACGUUUCCUCCAGAACAGGAGCCAUUUGAUUUGCCUCCUCUAGGAGAUGGCCUUGGUCCAGUUGUGCAGACAAAGAACGGAGGGUUCUUGCGUUCAAUGAAUCCUUUACUAUUCAGAAACUCUAAAUCCGGAGGGAGCUUGAUCAUGCAAGUGUCAAGUCCAGUGGUGGUGCCUGCUGAGAUGGGCUCUGGUAUCAUGGAGAUACUUGAGAAACUAGCCACUGCUGGAAUUGAGAAGCUCUCAAUGCAGGCAAAUAAAGUAAUGCCUUUGGAUGAUAUAACAGGGAAAACUAUGGAAGAGUUGUUGUGGGAUGCUUCACCUGCAAUUGACGGUGGUAACAGGUUUGAAACCAAUCUUAUCAUCAUUCAUUCUGUUUUGUGAAAAAUGUUUACUUACGUUUUGGACGUAUUUGGUUUACUUCUCAAUGCAGGGAUCAUAUCUCACAGCAUGAAUCUGGUUUUGGGAGUGGAGCAUCAUCUGCAGCUAAUUCAAAAAAGUUUGGUUCAAGCUCUAGCAACAACAACUCUGGCUCGGAGUAUGUAUCACUUGAAGAUCUUGCUCCUUUGGCUAUGGACCAGAUUGAAGCACUUUCUUUAGAAGGGUUGAGAAUACAAUCAGGAAUGUCAGAGGAGGAUGCACCCUCUGAAAUAACUGCACAGUCAAUCGGAGAGAUCUCAGCCUUCCAAGGAAAAAGCGGGUGCGUUGGUCUAGAAGGAGCUGCUGGUUUACAACUUCUUGACAUAAAGGAUGACAGAGAUGACGAUGAUGAUGGGUUAAUGAGUCUCUCAUUGACUCUUGAUGAGUGGAUGAAGCUGGAUUCAGGUGACAUUGGAGACGAAGAUGAAAUAAAUGAGCAAACGUCGAAAAUCUUGGCUGCACAUCAUGCAAACCCACUGAACUUUAUCCGGAAAGGGGAGAAAAGAAAGGGGAAGAGAGGAAGGAGAUGUGGUUUACUUGGGAAUAACUUCACAGUAGCACUAAUGGUUCAACUCCGAGAUCCCUUAAGAAACUAUGAGCCAGUUGGAGCUCCCAUGCUUUCUCUUAUCCAGGUUGAGAGAUUGUUUGUUCCUCCAAAGCCCAUAAUCUAUAGUACAGUUUCAGAGGUGAGGAAAACCGAUGAAGAGGAAAAGGAAACUGAGGUGGUCAAAGAGGAUAAAACCGUUUUGGAGGAACAAGGAAUCCCUCAGUAUAAAAUCUCAGAGGUGCAUGUUACUGGUAUGAAGAGUGAGACUGAUAAAAAGCCAUGUGGAGUCAAGAGUCAGCAUCAGCAGGUGCAGUCUGGUUCAAGGUGGUUGAUGGCUAACGGAAUGGGGAAAGGGAACAACAAGCUUCCUCUUAUGAAACCAAAACCGGGUUCUAUAAAGUCUGGUGAUAAGUUGUGGAGUGUGUCUGGUUCUGGUUCUAAAUGGAAAGAGCUUGGGAAAGUGGGGAAGUGGAACACACACGUGCGGAAUCCGAAUGUGAUCAUGCCAAAAUGAAACAAGAACUAGUGUCUGGUUUCUGGUUUUCUUUUUAUGCUAUGUAAAGUUAAUGUUAUGUGGUGUGUUGAAUUGCUAGAUUCAUUUCAGUGUUGCACCUGUGUUUAUUUAUGUGUGUGUUAGUUUAGGUUUUGCGGAUCAAACUAAUCACUGUUUUGUGGUACAGUUAAGAGAUCAAUGGAACGAACAAGAGCCUUUGAACUUGGUGCAGUGCUUAUUAUAUGAUAGUGAGGCAUCUUAGACGUGUCUGCAAUGCAAUGCUUAUUACUUAAUUAAAAUUUAAGCCAUAGAGACAAGAAAAUGAAACACUUGGAACAAUUACACACAAUAAAAUGCUAAACGAACUUGAAUAAAAAGCACAUAAACUCACACACAAAAACUUAAAAAAAAAUGAAAUAUAAGCUUAAUCAGUUCCUCCAAGCACACCCUUAAGUUUCUUAACUUGUUCAUCACUAAGGAAGGUGGUGGCUUCAACGAGCUCUGAAGGCAAAUCAUUAGCAAACAAAGCAAACGGUAGAAUCUGGAGGCCUGGGGAGGAGCUUCCAAAGGCAACAAAGGCCAAGGCAGGGCCUUUCCCAGAGUUAAGCUGAAAAUGAAGAAGCCCUUGAGGAAACACCAUAGAAUCACCUCUCUGGAGAGUCUUCAAGUAAACUUUGUUAGCAGAGGAAAUAAACCCGGCGCAGAUGGUUCCUUGUAUGACUACAAGAACCUCAGACGCACCAGGAUGUGUGUGAAGAGGAAUGACACCACCACCGGCUAAGUCAAGACGAGCCAUUGAGACUCCAAGACCAUUGGUGCCUGCGAAAGCAGGGGCAAAGGCUGGCGUCACUGCGGCUUUAAUGAGGUUCGAAGUGUUUCCAGCUUUGGCGAGGCCGGAGAAUGCAAAGUCAUUUUCGGUGACUUGGUCAGGGUUCUUGCAAGAGUAUCCUGAUGGGCUUUGAGGACCCUUUGGAUCAGCUACACAGAAGUCUUGAACAGAGGCAAAAGAGGUUGAUGAAACUAGGGAGAGGAUGAAAAAAAUGUGAAUUAUCA
rnacentral:lncRNA from 1 species